rnacentral:rRNA from 1 species
CAGCCGCCACGGUAAUACAGAGGGUGCGAGCGUUAAUCGGAUUUACUGGGCGUAAAGCGUGCGUAGGCGGCUUUUUAAGUCGGAUGUGAAAUCCCUGAGCUUAACUUAGGAAUUGCAUUCGAUACUGGGAAGCUAGAGUAUGGGAGAGGAUGGUAGAAUUCCAGGUGUAGCGGUGAAAUGCGUAGAGAUCUGGAGGAAUACCGAUGGCGAAGGCAGCCAUCUGGCCUAAUACUGACGCUGAGGUACGAAAGCAUGGGGAGCAAACAGGAUUAGAUACCCCGUAGUCCCUGUCUCUUAUACA